rnacentral:lncRNA from 1 species
GCAUAACUAGUAUUUCAGUCUCAUCUUGAGCUUAUACAUCUAAUAGUAACUCAAGGGUAAAGGAAGGAAAGGCAAAUUUUAAAAGAGACCCAUUCUUUUUUUCUUUUUUUUUAUAAGCAAUUUUAAUAAAGAUUUUACUCUAUAGAAGCUUUAAUAAGAACCCCAUAGGACUGGAAAAAAAUUGGGGAGACACAGAGGAAAAGAGAAAAAAGGGUGAAAGAAUAAAAACUUUAGGGAGAUAAACGAACAUAAUAUAGGGCUAAAACAAUAAUUUAAUUAAGGAAAAUUUUGUAAUAAAAUAUUUUAUUGAGAAGUGGAUGAAGAGAGUAUUGUAAUAUAUGUUCCAAGCCAAAUAGCCUCUCCAAAAAAAUUUCUUUCCACUACCAAUAUGUUACAUACAAAACUUUUACGAUCCCCCUUACAAUUUAUUUAUUUUUAUUAAUUUGAUUAUUAAUUAUUAAUUAUUCUUUAUUUAAAAAAACACUUGAUUCUCUCUCCACCCACAUAAAUGGGUUCAGAAAUCAUAA